rnacentral:rRNA from 2 species
UUAAGCGACUAAGCGUACACGGUGGAUGCCCUGGCAGUCAGAGGCGAUGAAGGACGUGCUAAUCUGCGAAAAGCGUCGGCGAGGUGAUAUGAACCUUUGACCCGGCGAUGUCCGAAUGGGGAAACCCAGUGCAAUCCGUUGCACUAUCGUUAACUGAAUACAUAGGUUAACGAGGCGAACCGGGGGAACUGAAACAUCUAAGUACCCCGAGGAAAAGAAAUCAACCGAGAUUCCCCCAGUAGCGGCGAGCGAACGGGGAGCAGCCCGGAGUCUGAAUCAGCUUGUGUGUUAGUGGAACGGUCUGGAAAGUCCGACGGUACAGGGUGAUAGUCCCGUACACGAAAGUGCACUUGCUGUGAACUCGAAGAGUAGGGCGGGACACGUGGUAUCCUGUCUGAAUAUGGGGGGACCAUCCUCCAAGGCUAAAUACUCCUGACUGACCGAUAGUGAACCAGUACCGUGAGGGAAAGGCGAAAAGAACCCCGGCGAGGGGAGUGAAAAAGAACCUGAAACCGUGUACGUACAAGCAGUGGGAGCCUCUUUUAUGGGGUGACUGCGUACCUUUUGUAUAAUGGGUCAGCGACUUAUAUUCUGUAGCAAGGUUAACCGUAUAGGGGAGCCGAAGGGAAACCGAGUCUUAACUGGGCGUUAAGUUGCAGGGUAUAGACCCGAAACCCGGUGAUCUAGCCAUGGGCAGGUUGAAGGUUGGGUAACACUAACUGGAGGACCGAACCGACUAAUGUUGAAAAAUUAGCGGAUGACCUGUGGCUGGGGGUGAAAGGCCAAUCAAACCGGGAGAUAGCUGGUUCUCCCCGAAAGCUAUUUAGGUAGCGCCUCGUGAACUCAUCUUCGGGGGUAGAGCACUGUUUCGGCUAGGGGGCCAUCCCGGCUUACCAACCCGAUGCAAACUACGAAUACCGAAGAAUGUUAUCACGGGAGACACACGGCGGGUGCUAACGUCCGUCGUGAAGAGGGAAACAACCCAGACCGCCAGCUAAGGUCCCAAAGUCAUGGUUAAGUGGGAAACGAUGUGGGAAGGCACAGACAGCCAGGAUGUUGGCUUAGAAGCAGCCAUCAUUUAAAGAAAGCGUAAUAGCUCACUGGUCGAGUCGGCCUGCGCGGAAGAUGUAACGGGGCUAAACCAUGCACCGAAGCUGCGGCAGCGACGCUUAUGCGUUGUUGGGUAGGGGAGCGUUCUGUAAGCCGUUGAAGGUGUGCUGUGAGGCAUGCUGGAGGUAUCAGAAGUGCGAAUGCUGACAUAAGUAACGAUAAAGCGGGUGAAAAGCCCGCUCGCCGGAAGACCAAGGGUUCCUGUCCAACGUUAAUCGGGGCAGGGUGAGUCGACCCCUAAGGCGAGGCCGAAAGGCGUAGUCGAUGGGAAACAGGUUAAUAUUCCUGUACUUGGUGUUACUGCGAAGGGGGGACGGAGAAGGCUAUGUCAGCCGGGCGACGGUUGUCCCGGUUUAAGCAUGUAGGCGGAGGUUCCAGGUAAAUCCGGUACUUUAUUAACGCUGAGGUGUGAUGACGAGGCACUACGGUGCUGAAGUGAUAAAUGCCCUGCUUCCAGGAAAAGCCUCUAAGCAUCAGGUAACACGAAAUCGUACCCCAAACCGACACAGGUGGUCAGGUAGAGAAUACCAAGGCGCUUGAGAGAACUCGGGUGAAGGAACUAGGCAAAAUGGUGCCGUAACUUCGGGAGAAGGCACGCUGAUGUGUAGGUGAAGCCCCUGCGGGUGGAGCUGAAAUCAGUCGAAGAUACCAGCUGGCUGCAACUGUUUAUUAAAAACACAGCACUGUGCAAACACGAAAGUGGACGUAUACGGUGUGACGCCUGCCCGGUGCCGGAAGGUUAAUUGAUGGGGUUAGCGGCAACGCGAAGCUCUUGAUCGAAGCCCCGGUAAACGGCGGCCGUAACUAUAACGGUCCUAAGGUAGCGAAAUUCCUUGUCGGGUAAGUUCCGACCUGCACGAAUGGCGUAAUGAUGGCCAGGCUGUCUCCACCCGAGACUCAGUGAAAUUGAACUCGCUGUGAAGAUGCAGUGUACCCGCGGCAAGACGGAAAGACCCCGUGAACCUUUACUAUAGCUUGACACUGAACACUGGUCCUUGAUGUGUAGGAUAGGUGGGAGGCUUUGAAGCGUGGACGCCAGUCUGCGUGGAGCCGCCCUUGAAAUACCACCCUUUAAUGGCUGGUGUUCUAACGUGGACCCGUAAUCCGGGUUGCGGACAGUGUCUGGUGGGUAGUUUGACUGGGGCGGUCUCCUCCCAAAGAGUAACGGAGGAGCACGAAGGUUGGCUAAUCCUGGUCGGACAUCAGGAGGUUAGUGCAAUGGCAUAAGCCAGCUUGACUGCGAGCGUGACGGCGCGAGCAGGUGCGAAAGCAGGUCAUAGUGAUCCGGUGGUUCUGAAUGGAAGGGCCAUCGCUCAACGGAUAAAAGGUACUCCGGGGAUAACAGGCUGAUACCGCCCAAGAGUUCAUAUCGACGGCGGUGUUUGGCACCUCGAUGUCGGCUCAUCACAUCCUGGGGCUGAAGUAGGUCCCAAGGGUAUGGCUGUUCGCCAUUUAAAGUGGUACGCGAGCUGGGUUUAGAACGUCGUGAGACAGUUCGGUCCCUAUCUGCCGUGGGCGCUGGAGAAUUGAGGGGGGCUGCUCCUAGUACGAGAGGACCGGAGUGGACGCAUCACUGGUGUUCGGGUUGUCAUGCCAAUGGCACUGCCCGGUAGCUAAAUGCGGAAGAGAUAAGUGCUGAAAGCAUCUAAGCACGAAACUUGCCCCGAGAUGAGUUCUCCCUGAGACUUUAAGUCUCCUGAAGGAACGUUGAAGACGACGACGUUGAUAGGUCGGGUGUGUAAGCGCAGCGAUGCGUUGAGCUAACCGAUACUAAUGAACCGUGAGGCUUAACCUU